UUAAAUUGAAGAGUUUGAUCAUGGCUCAGAUUGAACGCUGGCGGCAGGCCUAACACAUGCAAGUCGAACGGUAACAGGAAGCAGCUUGCUGCUUCGCUGACGAGUGGCGGACGGGUGAGUAAUGUCUGGGAAACUGCCUGAUGGAGGGGGAUAACUACUGGAAACGGUGGCUAAUACCGCAUAACGUCGCAAGACCAAAGAGGGGGACCUUCGGGCCUCUUGCCAUCAGAUGUGCCCAGAUGGGAUUAGCUUGUUGGUGAGGUAAUGGCUCACCAAGGCGACGAUCCCUAGCUGGUCUGAGAGGAUGACCAGCCACACUGGAACUGAGACACGGUCCAGACUCCUACGGGAGGCAGCAGUGGGGAAUAUUGCACAAUGGGCGCAAGCCUGAUGCAGCCAUGCCGCGUGUAUGAAGAAGGCCUUCGGGUUGUAAAGUACUUUCAGCGGGGAGGAAGGUGUUGUGGUUAAUAACCGCAGCAAUUGACGUUACCCGCAGAAGAAGCACCGGCUAACUCCGUGCCAGCAGCCGCGGUAAUACGGAGGGUGCAAGCGUUAAUCGGAAUUACUGGGCGUAAAGCGCACGCAGGCGGUCUGUCAAGUCGGAUGUGAAAUCCCCGGGCUUAACCUGGGAACUGCAUUCGAAACUGGCAGGCUUGAGUCUUGUAGAGGGGGGUAGAAUUCCAGGUGUAGCGGUGAAAUGCGUAGAGAUCUGGAGGAAUACCGGUGGCGAAGGCGGCCCCCUGGACAAAGACUGACGCUCAGGUGCGAAAGCGUGGGGAGCAAACAGGAUUAGAUACCCUGGUAGUCCACGCCGUAAACGAUGUCUACUUGGAGGUUGUGCCCUUGAGGCGUGGCUUCCGGAGCUAACGCGUUAAGUAGACCGCCUGGGGAGUACGGCCGCAAGGUUAAAACUCAAAUGAAUUGACGGGGGCCCGCACAAGCGGUGGAGCAUGUGGUUUAAUUCGAUGCAACGCGAAGAACCUUACCUGGUCUUGACAUCCACAGAACUUUCCAGAGAUGGAUUGGUGCCUUCGGGAACUGUGAGACAGGUGCUGCAUGGCUGUCGUCAGCUCGUGUUGUGAAAUGUUGGGUUAAGUCCCGCAACGAGCGCAACCCUUAUCCUUUGUUGCCAGCGGUCCGGCCGGGAACUCAAAGGAGACUGCCAGUGAUAAACUGGAGGAAGGUGGGGAUGACGUCAAGUCAUCAUGGCCCUUACGACCAGGGCUACACACGUGCUACAAUGGCGCAUACAAAGAGAAGCGACCUCGCGAGAGCAAGCGGACCUCAUAAAGUGCGUCGUAGUCCGGAUUGGAGUCUGCAACUCGACUCCAUGAAGUCGGAAUCGCUAGUAAUCGUGGAUCAGAAUGCCACGGUGAAUACGUUCCCGGGCCUUGUACACACCGCCCGUCACACCAUGGGAGUGGGUUGCAAAAGAAGUAGGUAGCUUAACCUUCGGGAGGGCGCUUACCACUUUGUGAUUCAUGACUGGGGUGAAGUCGUAACAAGGUAACCGUAGGGGAACCUGCGGUUGGAUCACCUCCUUACCUUAAAGAAGC
rnacentral:rRNA from 1 species